rnacentral:rRNA from 1 species
UACGGGGGGAGCAAGCGUUGUUCGGAUUUACUGGGCGUAAAGGGCGCGUAGGCGGCCACGACAAGUCAGUUGUGAAAUCUCUGGGCUUAACUCAGAACGGUCAACUGAUACUGUCGGGCUAGAGUGCAGAAGGGGCAACUGGAAUUCUCGGUGUAGCGGUGAAAUGCGUAGAUAUCGAGAGGAACACCUGCGGCGAAGGCGGGUUGCUGGGCUGACACUGACGCUGAGGCGCGAAAGCUAGGGGAGCGAACGGG